GCUCAGCAUUCCACCCUGCACUGGGCUCGGCAGGCAGGGCCGGUGGGCCCCGUGCAGGCCCCACUGGUGUGGGCUCACUGAAGUCCUCACUCUCCAGGGCCAGUUCAGAAACUGUCCCUGACCUGGCUCAGCAGCAGUCUCUAAGCUCAGCUUCCUGCCUGUGAGAGACACCGGAAGGGCCACCUAGGGCUCCUGGCUCUUGUGGCAGAAGGAUCCUGGGUGUUGCAGACGCUUCCAGCUCCAGAUGCAGCACCUGGAACUAAAUCAACCUCUGUGAUCCCCAGAGAAGCCACCAGCCCCUCCUGACUCCCAGGAAGCACAGUGGAGAGGACAGGUCCAGAGCAGCCACUGUGAGUUCUUGUGCACAGGUCACCCACCUAAGUCACCUCGCCAAUCAACCUCACACCACUGGAGGACACAACGACAGGAUCACAGAGGCUGGAGGGGGAAGGCACGGGAACUGCAGGUCACGGAUGGCCACUGGUAAAUGACACUCAUCUGAGCACUUCCAGUUAUCAAGACACCGCAGGGUAAGGAGGAGCAAGCCACUGGUGGGAGACUGUUGGCACACACAUGCUGGUUCACACCCACAACGAAGAGGUGACUCCAUCAACCCCGAAAGAAGAAGAAAACCACCGGGGAAAAAAGGCAAGAAGACACAGGGAGUUCGGCCUGACCCCGGAAAACCCUGGGCCUUUCACAGAGGAAAACCUGGGGGCCCGGGGCCGCGCAGGAGCCCUCGGCGGACCC